CCGGCGGCUGCGCCGGGCAGGCCGCGGGCGGGGGCUCGCCCCGGCGAGGAAAGCCUGCGCGGCGGGAAGGCGGUCGUUGGUUUGGGGAGCUGAACCGGGGGGUGUCUCCGGAGGCAGGCAGGCGGCAGGGCUCGGGGCGAGCCGUCGCCGGCCGCCAAGCUCACGGGGGUGUCCUUCCCUGCUGCCGACAGGCUUCGUCAGGCUGCGCUCUCGGGGAGCAACUGGGUCUGGCGGGGCCGGCAGCCUUCGUGCGAGGAAGCGCAGAACGUGGGCAAGGCCUCCUCGCGGUGACGGGCAGCUGCCAGGCCUUGCUCUGUAAGCCCCGGACCGCAGAAGUCACGUCUCGCGCCCUUCGCCCCUGCCUAGAAACAGGGAAUGGCUCUGCCCCGAUAUUCAUUCAUACAGAAGAAGCAGAUGUGACCUUCCCUUAUUAACUCUCGCGAUGAGUCAUGCUCAUCUCUGUGACUGAGCACUCAGACAUGAUCUCAAG
rnacentral:lncRNA from 1 species